CCUACGGGUGGCAGCAGUGAGGAAUAUUGGUCAAUGGGCGGGAGCCUGAACCAGCCAAGCCGCGUGAGGGAAGAAGGUACAGCGUAUCGUAAACCUCUUUUGUCAGGGAACAAAGGCGGGGACUAGUCCCCGGAUGAGGGUACCUGAAGAAAAAGCAUCGGCUAACUCCGUGCCAGCAGCCGCGGUAAUACGGAGGAUGCGAGCGUUAUCCGGAUUUAUUGGGUUUAAAGGGUGCGCAGGCGGCCUGUUAAGUCAGCGGUAAAAUUGAGAGGCUCAACCUCUUCGAGCCGUUGAAACUGGUUUUCUUGAGUGAGUGAGAAGUAUGCGGAAUGCGUGGUGUAGCGGUGAAAUGCAUAGAUAUCACGCAGAACUCCGAUUGCGAAGGCAGCAUACCGGCGCUCAACUGACGCUCAUGCACGAAAGUGUGGGUAUCGAACAGGAUUAGAUACCCUGGUAGUC
rnacentral:rRNA from 1 species